AGAAAAGCAAGAAAAGAUCAGAUUACAAGGAAAAGCAGAAGAAAAAAAAAAAGAAAGAAAGGAAAAAUCAUACAAAGUUAAUUUUGCCAGGCCACUAGGGAUAGGAACAAUUUACCAGCAUGGAAAGGCAACUUUUUAGAGGCUACAAAGCUUUGAAAAGUUGUUUUUUCUGCUACUGGAACAUGUCCUCCUCUAAAUCCAUUCCAGCCUUCUCUCCUGAAUUUCUAUUAUUUGCAUUAUUCCAGCAAUAAACUACAAGCAGAUGCCAUAGCAGAAAAAGCAGACAGUCAGUGUGUCCCAUGUGGAACAUUAGGUGUACUACAAAAUCUCAACCAAAGCACAUCUUGGUUCAGAGAAAACACGUGAGAUUUAUUUUUAUUAAGUAUUUGUGGGGAUAUAUCCUAUUUUCAGAUAUAGUUCAUUCUUGUCCCCAUUUCCUUUCCAGGACAGAGAAGACGGAAAUAAUUUCAAGAGUCAAGGUUUUCUUUCGAGGACACAGAAUUUAAGUUUUCUGCGUAUGAGUACACAGAAUAUCGCGUAUUUUUUUCCCCCUCAAAGUUUUUGCAUAACUCAGCAAAACUUCCUUCACAUUUCCAGCAUGCCUCAGCAUAAUUUCAUCAUGGCUCAGUAAAAUUUACAGGGACAACAUGUGCUGAAGAUGCACCUUUCCAUGAACAAGCCAGAAGUCAAUAUACCUUGCACUGCCUCUUUCUGCAACAAAGGUACCUGCUGGGACUUCUCAGUGGCAAGAUCUGGUGCGCAGCUCCUCCAGCUGAUCACUCUCACUGCAAACAGCGCUGGGAGUUAAGACAGAUGAUAAAGAGGGUGGAAGGCCUGGAGAUUUGCUAUCCAGAGUCAUGGAGUCAUCACUGAAGAAGUCUGAAGGCAGAACAGAUGCCAGCUUCGGAGGUAUUUGUGUACCCAGACCAUAAUAAAUAUCUCCAAGGGUCUUCGGUAUAGAAUUCAUAUACCUGGAGCAUCAGAGAGAACCCACAUCAAAUACACCCCUCCUCAAAACUGUUGGUAUUUCAAUCCCAAGGUUUGAGCUAAAUCCUUGUUCUUACAUGUCAAUUUAAAAACAAACAACAAACUGAAUAUCAACUGGGUUUUUUAAUUAGUUUACUUGCUUAUCAGCUACUUUUUCUUUAAUCAAGAGAUAAGAAACAGAACACAUGUAAAUUUCUGGGUAUUACAAAGAUGCAGUAAUCAAAGCUAUUGAUUGCUGUCUACUCACAGACAAGAUCCAACCCAAACCACAGUCCCCAGCAACACGUAAGUCAUGCUAAAGAACUUACAAUUCUAAUAUUUCCUCUAGAAACUUUGUAAGAUAGGCUGGGUCUUCAGUCAGACAUAAAAUGCGCAGCGUAUCUGUCAUCUGGAAGAGAAAGUCAGGUGGGAAAAUGGAUUAAGGUGUGACAGCUGCAGCACCAGAUAUCUUACCAAAGAAUAUAAAGUGUUAGUGUAAAAUCAAAGGAAAAGCAGUUUCCAGGUCUGCAUUUCCAGUGCCAUGCAGAAACACAACCUGGUUUAUACUUUACUUGCCUCUUCUAACAGCUGCUCCAUUUCCUCAGCGUUGCUUUGCAGCGAAGGGCACUGAAGGCACAACUCAAGGCGCAGAAAUACCUGAAGUCGGCACCUAAGAAAACAAAUCUGGAGAUGAUCAAAAGAUGGCAAGUUUUACAUUUCCUGACACCUACCCAGACUGGCCAGAGAAUUUUCCACUGACAUGUCAAUUUUACUCAACACACUAUUCACAAUCUCUGGCAGGCAUGCUGAGAAACAACGUUCCUUCUUGCUGGGGAAACACUGAUCGAUACACGGAUGGCCUCGAGAACAAGCAGUUCAAAGUCGCAUCCAGCGGCAGAAGCGUGGUCCAAGGCACAGCCUGUGGCACUGGGAACCUGGAGUCCCCAAGGAAGCCAGCAGCAACAUCUGCCCUAGGGUGACUCAAACAGUGCACCAAGGUUUCAGCUGGCAAAAUGGUGCCUCCCAUCUGACAAAUCACUUCAAACAUUGUCCAGUAGCCCCCAUGAUCCGGGCAUUCGAUCAGCUGAAAUAAAAGUAAGAGAGGUCUCAAGUUAAGGUUGGCAGUGAGAGAACUUCCAUGUAAACAAAUAAAGACUGCACGUUUUCAGAAAAGCUGGUAUAGGAAACCUAUCCAAAGCAUCUAAACACGGUGCUUCCUGGGAGUUUUUAUGGACUUUAUCAGCCUUCACAGGAACCUAGCAAAGUUUAUACUAUUCCCAGUGAUCUAAAAGCUAGCAAUAUUUUCAAGCUCUUUUUUUUUUUAAAUCUGGUGUCUACACACCUGAACUAUCAGGCUGCUUAUCCGCAAUUCUGAACAACUGUAACACCCC